rnacentral:rRNA from 1 species
CGUAGGGUCCGAGCGUUGUCCGGAAUUAUUGGGCGUAAAGGGCUCGUAGGCGGUUUGUCGCGUCGGGAGUGAAAACUCAGGGCUCAACCCUGAGCGUGCUUCCGAUACGGGCAGACUAGAGGUAUGCAGGGGAGAACGGAAUUCCUGGUGUAGCGGUGGAAUGCGCAGAUAUCAGGAGGAACACCGGUGGCGAAGGCGGUUCUCUGGGCAUUACCUGACGCUGAGGAGCGAAAGCAUGGGGAGCGAACAGGAUU